rnacentral:lncRNA from 1 species
GUCUUCAUUAAAUAGAAGAGGCAAAUCUUCUUGAAGAAGGUGUAAAGAAAACUGAUAUGGAAACAGAAACACAGACAGAAUUUUUCCUAAAAGGGUGAUAUAAUGAUGCAGGGAGCAAACAUGGGAUGAUUUUGUGAAAUGCGGUAGAUUUGCAAGCAUCUCUGUUUUUAUCCCUCUCUGUACCCUGGUGCAGUGGAACAAUUCUUGUUCAGCCUCAGUGCAGCAUGAUUCUGGAUAGCUGAACUCCUGUAAAUAGUGAAAGGACAUGUAGAUAUCUAUGGGACGUUGGUCAGACUGAAAAUGAUUUAUCCAAUGUGCAGAGGUAUGUGAUAACACUAGGCUUGUUGUCAUAAUUUUUUGGGGGGGAGGAGGAGUAUUUCAUCUUUAAUAUUUCAUAUAGAUUGUAGCUUCUAUCAAUGUAAUUAUCUGCGUCAUUAUAUUCAUGUUACUUACUAAUUUCAUACUAGUGUUCUUUUGUGUUUUCCUACUUAUUGUUAUUCAAAAGGAACUCGUACAUCUAUCUUUGUUGCAGGUGCAUGGUAACAGUUGGAUAGGAUGAGAAAAAAGAAGAAACCCACACACUGCUCUUGCUAGUAUCACUGCUCUUUAUUAAGCUUUACGUAUCAGAGCUUUACAAAAAUACAUAAACUAAAUGAUUUUAACUUAACAGUGGUCAUCUAUUCAGAUGACCUCUUUACCUUUACC